rnacentral:sRNA from 1 species
GCCGGGCAUGGUGGCGCAUGCCUGUGAUUCCAGCGGCUCAGGAGGCUGAGGCAGGAAGAUCUCAAGUUCAAGGCCAGCCUCAGCAAUAGUGAAGCCCUAAGCAACUCAGGGAGGCCCUGUCUCUG